GGUUGCUUGUUUUCCCCUCUGUUAAGGCAGGGAAGUUGCUGGGGGGGUUGCUGGUUAGAACUGUUAACGUUUAUUGUUUAAUGUUAUAUGAUAAUAAUAUUAUUAGUGUGAUUUCAAGGGUUAACGAAACUCGGGAAAAGCAAUCACGUUUUGUUGCUUUGGGGAACCUUGUGGUGGGCAGAGCAUGUGCAGAAGAAGAGGGAGACGCUCGAAGCCGCUCCUGCAGUCUGGAACAAAAGCCGCAGACAAAGCAAUCUGAAGUGAGCGAUGACGAAGGUUUGAAAACAGCAGGAAAACCAUUUUUGUUGCGGACCCCAACGGCAAGCAGAUAAAAGGAGCCGGCCCCGCAGCCCAGCCUGUUCAGAAAGCACUUGUGGUCGCCACGCGCGGACACACACGGUGCCGCUUUUCCCACAACAGCAAGCGUUAAAAAAACUAUUUAUAAAGGCAUUCAAAAAUGCGCCGCUGGCCUCGGGGGUGC